rnacentral:rRNA from 1 species
UGGGGAAUUUUGGACAAUGGGGGAAACCCUGAUCCAGCCAUCCCGCGUGUGCGAUGAAGGCCUUCGGGUUGUAAAGCACUUUUGGCAGGAAAGAAACGUCGCGGGUUAAUACCCCGCGGAACUGACGGUACCUGCAGAAUAAGUACCGGCUAACUACGUGCCAGCAGCCGCGGUAAUACGUAGGGUGCAAGCGUUAAUCGGAAUUACUGGGCGUAAAGCGUGCGCAGGCGGUUCGGAAAGAAAGAUGUGAAAUCCCAGAGCUUAACUUUGGAACUGCAUUUUUAACUACCGGGCUAGAGUGUGUCGGAGGGAGGUGGAAUUCCGCGUGUAGCAGUGAAAUGCGUAGAUAUGCGGAGGAACACCGAUGGCGAAGGCAGCCUCCUGGGAUAACACUGACGCUCAUGCACGAAAGCGUGGGGAGCAAAACAGGAUUAGAUACCCUGGUAGUCCACGCCCUAAACGAUGUCAACUAGCUGUUGGGGUCUUCGGACCUUGGUAGCGCAGCUAACGCGUGAAGUUGACCGCCUGGGGAGUACGGUCGCAAGAUUAAAACUCAAAUGAAUUGACGGGGUCAUAGCUGUUUCCUG